CAUCUUUAACGGUAAGUUUGAUAGGACGCGGAAUGUUUCGCGAUUAAUUGUGUAUUCCAUCCGUUAAUAGUGCAUAACAAGUAUAAAUUUUUAUCGGGAGUGUCGAUCAAAGUAACGGGCGAUUGUCAAAAAGUAUAUCGCGGAUGCUCGUGAUUAUCGGGAAUGUUGAUCAAAGUGACGAGCGAUUGUCAAGAAGUAUACUGGGGAUAGUUGCGAUUAUCGGUAGAUGCUCCGGUGGAUUCCGAUGUUCUCUCUCUUUCUCUUUUUACGCGCGGUAUAAUUUUCGUUAGAUAUUUACGUCUCGUAGCAUACCGAAAACUUAUCUUGUUAGCAUUAAUUCGGGCGAAAUUAAGCAGUGUUGUAGUGAAUUAUCGUCGGAACGUAUAUUUACCGUGAAUGUUCGCGAUUCUCAGUGAUUCGUCGAUUGUUUAGUGCUGCAUCCGUUUAGUGCAAACUGCUUUCCAUUCGCAAUUGAUUACAUAAUUAAAUGCAGAAUUAUGAUUUAUUCAUUUAUUCUUCGAUGGAGCUGGAACAAUCGAUGGAUGUGCAGCAAUCUGAAAUGAAAUGUGGAUGGAAUAGACUGCAAUAUUCUAGUUGAUACAGCUGCAGAUGCACUUAACUAGAGUACAACGACCAGUACGCAUCGACACCCCCGUAAUGAAAAUAACGCAAAGUGCAACGAGGCUUACGAGGGCGAUCGUGAUGGAUACUUCGCUCUUCGUCUUCUUUUUCUUCAGCCUCUUCCUAUACUUGACUCUUUCCGUCUCUUCGCUCCUUCUACUACGACAUUAACGGAUGGUUUGCCUCGACGGAAAUCUGACAUAUCGAUCACGUCGUCGUGUAAUAAGGAAGCGGCGUGGAUCAUC